rnacentral:rRNA from 1 species
AUUGAACGCUGGCGGCAUGCCUUACACAUGCAAGUCGAACGGCAGCAUGAUCUAGCUUGCUAGAUUUAUGUCGAGUGUCGCACGUGUGAGUAAUACAUCUGAACGUUCCCUGUUUUUGGGGAUAACUAGUCGAAAGAUUAGCUAAUACCGCAUACGACCUGAUGGUUAAAGUUGGGGACCGCAAGUCCUCAUGCUAUAGUAGCCGCCGAUGUCUGAUUAGCUAGUUGGUGAGGUAAAGGCUCACCAAGGCGACGAUCAGUAGCUGGUCUGAGAGGACGAUCAGCAAAACUGGAACUGAGACACGGACCAGACCACUACGGGAGGCAGCAGUGGGGAAUGUUGGACAAUGGGCGAAAGCCUGAUAUAGCAAUGCCGCGUGUGUGAAGAAGGCCUUCGGGUUGUAAAGCACUUUUGUCCGGAAAGAAAUGGAGCUGGUUAAUACCUGGGGUCGAUGACGGUACCGGAAGAAUAAGGACCGGCUAACUACGUG